rnacentral:rRNA from 1 species
ACUGAAUAGAUACCCUGGUAGUCCACGCCCUAAACGAUGUCUACUAGUUGUCGGUUUUAAUUAACUUGGUAAACGCAGCUAAACGCGUGAAAGUAGACCGCCGUGGGGAGUACGGUCGCAAGAAUUAAAACUCAAAGGAAUUGACGGGACCCGCACAAGCGGUGGAUGAUGUGGAUUAAUUCGAUGCAACGCGAAAAACCUUACCUACCUUGACAUGUACGGAAGCCACGAGAGAUCGAGGUGUGCUCGAAAGAGAGCCGUAACACAGGUGCUGCACGGCUGUCGUCAGCUCGUGUCGUGAGAUGUUGGGUUAAGUCCCGCAACGAGCGCAACCCUUGUCAUUAGUUGCUACGAAAGGGCACUCUAAUGAGACUGCCGGUGACAAACCGGAGGAAGGUGGGGAUGACGUCAAGUCCUCAUGGCCCUUAUGGGUAGGGCUUCACACGUCAUACAAUGGUACAUACAGAGGGCCGCCAACCCGCGAGGGGGAGCUAAUCCCAGAAAAGUGUAUCGUAGUCCGGAUUGUAGUCUGCAACUCGACUGCA